GGUGUCCUGGUGGCCCCAGUGGGGCCCUGCUGGCAUUCCUGGCACCACGGCUGCCCCCUCCUGACAUCCGUUCCCAUUUGCAGCGGUCAGAUGCUCGAGCUCAUCUGCCAGCCUUGUCGCCCACCAAGCCCCAGCAGAGCCGUUGCCACACAACACACAGGGGUGAAGCUCCUGAGCACCAGAGGAGAGGAGCCAAACCUCUGCCACGCCAGGAGAUGGAGGAGAUGGCUUUAAAUGGAGGCUUCCUUUGUGCCCGGCUUUGCUUUGUUGGCGAACAGCACUUGGCUGGUCACAGCAAUGUAGCAACUCCCCAGCACACAUGUUAGUGGUUUUGAGGGCUAAAUUGGACCUUGAGAAUUAGCAGCCUUGUAAGUCAAUAACAACAUGUCCUAAUGAAUGCAAGAUGUCCCUAGGAAAUGAAGGCUCCUUCGCUCAACUGGGAUCCUGUGACUAGGAGAGGACCAGUAAACAAGAAGGAAUGUUUCAACUGGAGAUGAGCAGGAGAUACAAAGUCGACAUCUAGAUUUCAAACACACCCCAAACGUGGGUGGUGGGGGGCACGAGCCAUUUGCAGUUGUGAAACAUGGCCCUCCGUCGCUGUCUGCCGUCUGAACGUCCCCUGCAUUUCCCUUGGGUGGAGUGGGCUUUGAAAACCGGCUGCUAAAUGCCACGUUGUCCCCCCGCCCCUCUCCAUCACCGUGGGGUGGAAUUACUCCCCGGAGCCGUCCCGCCGAGCUCGCAGCAGCGCCUGCCUUCUUGCGCAAGGGCUGUUUCCCUCUGCCCCCCCUCACAGCCUGCCUUCAGAAAUGCGCCCUUCUGGCGAGGCCGCUCACGCCUGGGCAGCGCUGGAUGCAGGCGCUGCGUACGGGAGGACGGGGCGAGGCUGCCCGUCCGAGUGGAGGCCGACCUUGCUGCCCUGCCCAUGGAGCCCGCGUUCAGCUGAGCUGCAGAGCAGGUCUCUGCUGGUAAAGCUGCUCCAGGAAGAGAUCGAGGAAAAGGCCAGCUCGGUUUCACUGUCAUCACCUCCUCCUUGUUCUGAAGUCACCGUAGUUUCAGCUGCCCCACAGCACCGCCCCGGUGCUCAGCCGACCCCUUCACCAGCGGCAGCCGCGGGGCGCUCAGCUUGGCCAGACCCCACUGCAGCCACGUGUGGGCGCAGCCUUACCUGUGAAGUCACUACGGUGGUGAAAAACCUAUGCAAGAUGCGGCCCCAGCAUCCGCAGCACUCUGGAUCCUGUGCUUGGUAGGUGGCCUGUAUAAAAAUAACGCCCAUCUGGCCUUCAGGUGUCGGGAGAGUCAAAAGCUGGCCAGAGCCUGUGGGCAUGUGCCUGAGUUCUGAGGAGCCCAGGGCCGCUCACUGCGCCCGCUCUGGCCAAACUGCGGCUGUGGCUGCCAGCCCAGGCAGCGGCCCUGGGGCGCUGGGCCAGGGGCCGGGUCCAUCCCAGCGGAAUGCAGCACCUGGGACCUGUGGAGCUGCGGGCAAGGAGUGAGCAGGCAGGAGGCACCAGGGGACUUGUAACCGUAUGUUUAUUAUUCCACAUGGAAAGUCAUUAAAAUGAUUACACGAAGGCCUGACAAUAUAAUCAUGUACAUUGGCUAAGAACAUCGACACCGAUAAUAGAAAAGCAGAACUGACCACUGUGCUGUGGCUUCGUACCAACUCAGUCCCACCCGUUCACGAACCCGGCCGACAAAAAGGAGCCCGACUGCUCUCAUGGAAGCUGGCACGGCAGAGAUGUCGCCAGCCAGAGCUUCGUCAAAUGACUUCAACAGGAGCAGACCGUCCCCGUCCUCUCCCUCCCUCCCCGCCUCCCCCCACCCCAGUGACAAGUGCUACAGGUUAAAAAGAUGGGCUACAUGUUAAAUAUAGGGCAUUACCUUCAAGUAGGGCUGGUAUAUUACACAAAUAACCACAUUAUUUGGUAUCACUAGCAUUUUUUUUAAUGUCCAUUGUAAGACACCAUUAAAAAAAAACAACUUUAGCCUUCUUUAUCUACAUAUGUCUCUGUUCUCAACUCCUUAGUUGGUUGUUGUCAUUUUACCCUGCACAUGUAAGUAUUAGAAGCAUUAUUAAGAAUCGGAUCCUUCAACACAUUUAAGAAUUAUAUUAUUAUAACAAAUAAGACCAAAAAUUAGAUUCUAUAGUUAAAUAUUCUUUGAGCCAGACAAAGGGGUUUUACUGUACAAGCGAUUGUGCAUUUUUUUAAAAAAGCAAAUUAUAGUGCAAAGCAAAAAACAUUGGCCUGUCUUGUGACCAUUUGCAUACAAUAGAGGUGCAUAUAUUUACACCUUCAUAUGACAAUAUGUCAUAAAAAAUAACAUUGUUGCCAUUUUAAAAAAAAUUCAUUAUGAACAGUCUUAAAUUAACCUAGUACUACGAAUGCCUUGUUUUCUUUGUGCUUUCAAUCAGUGGCGUGGUUGGAUGAUAAACAUAAAUGCAUCAAAACACAGGCUGCUGCUGUGGUCCAGUUUCUACAGCUGGCAAGCACCAGAGAGGUGCUCCCUGUUGCUAAGGAAGUAAAUGUUGCAGUUUUGCUGGGGUAGGGCUUUUAAAAAUUUCUAUUUAAAAGAGUUGUUCCUCUUGUUGCUUGUUUAACUCAUGAGUGGUCAUCACAGCUUUCCAACUAAGCCAGGAUGUCUUGCUCCACUCUUUACGUGGUAGUGCAAUUACAAUACUCUGUAUCUCAGCUGACUGCUGACAAGCUACAACUGAGAUUUGGUGAUAGGUAUAAUGGCAUAAAUUAGACAGAAGGGACUGGGAGGUCAGCUGGAGGGUUUAAAUUUUCCUACACAUGGAAAAAAUAAGACUUGGUCCAGAACCCAGCCCCAAUUUGCACACCAGCAGAAAGUGUGGCCGGCUGGUGGAAGGCGGCUUAACCCUGUGCCGUGCAUUGGGGCCAGGCCACUAACUCAGCGUAGGGGAAGCCCCGCCACCUCUCCGGCUGCCUGCUGCCACCUGGUGCAGUCUCGUUCAGGUCACAGCCUCGUUGGUACCAGCUAUGAGGCCGUGUCUGCAUGGUGCCUGAGGGACCUGGUUCCUCCAGAUGCCACACAAUCCAACCAGCUAACAGUGCGCCAGUGGUAGCUUUAAGGGCCUGUUCUUCAGCUUAUUCAUCUACAGCAUGAUAGCAGUGCUCUGGGUCACUUGGGAGAAUGGAAAGGAGGGUAAGUGCUUGGAAAAUGUCAGAUAACAUUGCUUCACAAUCUUCCCACCACCAAGGGGACUGUGUAGAAACUGCUCCUUUCUCCAAAUCUCAGUUAGAGCUUUCAGCAUGAACUGACAAGUGUAAGUUGUUUCUAAAUAAAAAAAGUCAUCAUGUGUCAAUCCACUCUAGGUGAAAACACAGGAAAGAAUCAUAACAGAAAUAUGAUGCUUUUGCCACCAGCUGCAUGUGUAGCCACUCAGAGAGAAUGAAAGAAAGACCCAGAGACCAGUGGCAGGGUCAUGCCAAAGGUUUCUGAGUCACUCUGCAGGUAACACGCUUGCUUGGAAGUGCAUCUCACACAUCUUGGAUUGUCCUGAACACUGCCUUCGCUUCAGACACCAUCAUUGAGAUUUGCUAAAGAGGGGCAAAGAACUAAAUGGUGAGGUCAGGACAAAAGAGCAAACAAAACAAAACACAUCUCAUAAAAAGUACAUCUCAUAUGUAAACAUACAGGAAAGGGGAGGGUCUGUCAGGCACAGGAUCAGCCACGUUACUGUUUUAAAAAUGACGACAAUGACAAAAAAAAUGAACAAUACAACCUCUGUCGUCAACAAAGAAUAAUAAUAAUCACAUCACAGCUCUUGUUCACAUGGCUGAUGCCGUCUGACCCACGAGGAAUGCGCAGCCUCCGUGCAUUCCCGAGAACCCACGGUUGUGCUGUAAACCAGACUCUCACGUGCGGCAUGUGGCUCUGGCGUCGUUCCACGGAUCUUUGGUAGUCAGGAGCCUUAAACUGGCGGGGAGGGACUGAGAGGAGACAAAGUUUUUUUCUUUUUUUUUCUUCUUUUUUUUUUUUCUUUCCAGUUCAGUCUUUCUGCAUUGGCAGAGAGAUGGUUCGGAUUAUUUCCUGGUCCUUUCUCUUCUCUGAAACAUUUUGCAGAAGGACAAGGUUUUCUUAACUAUUGAAUGCUUUGUGUGGGGAUGAGGAUGCGAGUGAGAUGACUGAGAAGUGUUCUGCAAUAAACAAAUAUCUGAUUCCACA